UACGUAGGGGGCAAGCGUUGUCCGGAAUCAUUGGGCGUAAAGAGCGUGUAGGCGGCCCGGUAAGUCCGCUGUGAAAGUCCAGGGCUCAACCCUGGGAUGCCGGUGGAUACUGUCGGGCUCGAGUCCGGAAGAGGAGUGUGGAAUUCCUGGUGUAGCGGUGAAAUGCGCAGAAUAUCAGGAGGAACACCAAUGGCGAAGGCAGCACUCUGGGACGUGACUGACGCUGAGACGCGAAAGCGUGGGGAGCAAACAGG
rnacentral:rRNA from 1 species